AUACAUGCUGUGAAAAAUACUUGGGCUAAUUCAGUUCCAACUGUGUUCAAAACUGUUAUGCAUGCUGGAGUAUAAAAUGCUGUUGAAUUGUACUUUUCCUUCACUUUCACAUACACUGUGUUCACAGAAACAUUGCUCAGAUCUUGUCCCCUGGACCUUGGAGGACUUUUGGUGUGGAUGAUGUUCAGUAUGCCCUGUACAUUGCAAUGGGAGCAGAGUGUGAUUUCACUGAGGAAAACAUGCAGCAUAUUAGGUGAUGGUGGUGCCUAGUUCUCCUGCAGAACUUUCCCAUGCCGUCUGAAGAAGUGAGGUUGAAAGAUGGAAAAAGGGGUGGCGAAAACAAAACACACUACAGGAAGCAGAUGUUCUUCUAAGGGACACCCUAGGGGCAGCAAGGUGGUGCGAACUCCAAACAUUUUAAGGAACUGUUUCCCUCCCUAGUGUAAUUGGGAUGGAAGGGGAAGACCGCAUUACAAUACUUAAAGAACUAUGGUUGUAUGAUGGUCUGGAUGAAGAGGAAAAUAUUCUCCUCAAGGAACCAUUCCUGUUACAGAGAAAUUAUGAGAUGAUCUAUGUGGAGGCAGUUGACAACAAGAAAAUGACUGUCUGCCUCUUGAGGAGCAGGAGUGAAGCCAUUUUUGAGGAGUGGUCAAACCUUGAGUUUGUCUGCUGUUUUAAUUGUUAAUUGUGUUUUUAGUAAAGAUGAUGU